rnacentral:misc_RNA from 1 species
CUUCAGUCACUUUACAAAAGCACGGCCGCGACUUGUGGGCAAGUGGUGGAAGGGGUUGGACUAGGUUGAGUGAAGUGAGUUGGUCAAAGUGGAUUUCUCCUCGUCUGUUGAACAAUAAGUGUAGUUUUGAUUUAAAUUAUGGAAAUCACGAAAUCCCUGCAUGAUGAUAUCGUCAAAAUUCAACAUGAACUUGUAACUGCAAUACAGAAUCAUCAGGUUUUAGUGUUGAGGCAGCAAGUCAGCCCUACUGAUAGCAUCAGAACUCAAAUAGAAGAGGUCCAAAGACACAUUAUCUGUCUGGGCGAAUCUCAGAAAAUCUUAGUUGCCCGUCUACGUAAUGAAGUGGAUCCCCGGGCGAUACGUGCCAGCAACAAGCACAAGACACCACAUCCUCCCCGGCCCCAGGAGCGGUUUAACCACCGAGGCAAGAGUGAGGAUAUUGCACGUUCGUUACUGGUCAAGAAUGCCCACAAGGAUCGGUCACGGUUUAAGCCCACACACCGCGGUGGCAAUGACAAUGCCGGAGAACAGAAAGCCUCGUUGCCUAAGGGGCGACAUCCCUCUAUUGAUAGUUCAAGUGAGGAGAAUAGGACUCCUUGUGAGUCCCCCAUUAACGGGAAUAGUGACAAUGAGAAAAAAGGAAUAAAGCGCAACAGUGUACAAAGUCGUUGCCAGCCUGCUAAGAGGCCCAAGACUACACUACAGGCUACUCCCCGCCCUAGCUCUCCAGCCAAGGCCUUGGAUGUUUUGACCAGUUCCUCAGAAGAAUCACUUGAUUCUUUGGUAUCACAACAACCUGAAUCCGAGAAUAAGGUGGAAUUUGCCCUUGCCUUAGGUCUAAUCACGCAGGAAGUGUACAGUAGGAUAAUAAAAAAGAAGAGCGAAAGAAGAAGAAGAAAGGUGAACACUCAACAUCAUCUUUAUGAUGAUCUUUGGGAUCUCACUAUGUUGCAGAAGCGUAAUAGUAGAGUGAAGGAGCCAGUGGAGUAUGUAGAUGACGGAAGCCGUGAUUGUGGCACUCCAUUGAGCGAUUCGGACAGCCUAUGCUUUGUCUGCCGUAAUCCUGGAAUUGGAGAACAAAGAGAAUGCAGAGUGUGUCAGACCAUGUGUCACGUGUCCUGUGUCACUGGCAACAUCUGCCCUGCCUGCACUCACCAAGCCCCCUCCUCUCCUCUGAUUACAGCAACAAACCGCCAGAGUAAACCAACUGGUUUCAGAAGAAGAGAAGCUUCUUGAGUCCAUCAAGAUUAUCAAAGACUUUGUUGCAGGUGUACAAAAUUCUCCAAAGCUUACAUCAUGACUACAAGAAGAAAAUACGGAUGUUACCUCUGUGGUUUAACUUCUCAUUCCCUCGCUUGCAUGGAUAUAUCUUCUUUCUUCUAUUAUAUUUUAUUGGUUUAUACACUAUUAUGUAUGUCUUCCUUGUGUAAGAUCUUCACUUUAGCCUUGUAAAGAUUGUUAUUAACUAUGUUGGCAAUAAAUGUAGUGAAAAAUUAUUUUUGUAAUCAAAAAGUUGUUUUGUUUGAUUACGUUAAGGUCAAGAUUAGCAUAAAGUUACUAAUGUGAAAUCUCGAAAAUUCCAAUAAUAAAUUAGAUUUAUUGCUUUAUUUUCAAUAACAAUGUUGUGCGAUUUGUAAUUUUGGAAAUUUUUAUUAUCGAACCAAUUGUAUUAUAAAAUUAAAUUAUAGUUUUCUACUGUAAUUCAUGAAAGUCAAAAAAUAUGUUUUUAUUAUUUAAUAAUUCUUAUUGUGCUUAAUUCCUUUUAGUUCUCUUUUGUUUUUCAAAUCUUAUUUUACGCAACAUGUCAAACUUCAAGAAAAAUACUCGUAUUUAAUAUGUUUAUUUAAGGGACAUUUAAAUAAAAAAAAUUAAAUUUCCAUUAACAAAAAGUUGAAAUUUACAAGUUUGCUAAAAAAUUGUCUAUAUUGAUCAAGACUGGAUACAUGGAAUAUUUGGAAAUCACACAAGAGCUGAGAGAUAAUGAUUGUAAGGUUGCUUGUUGCAUUGUCAUGCUCAAACUUCAUGUGAAUUAGAGAUUAAAAGACUAAAGUAAUGCUCUAUAUACAGCAGAGCUAGAUAAUUAGUCUGAUUAAAUCUUUAGGAAUGCUAAAGGUCAAAUAAGUAUUAGGUUGAAGUGCGCUGGAAUCCGCAAAAGAAUUACCUAACAGUAAUAUGUAUGUAAUAAUUUAUCAUGGGAAAAUUUAUGUCCAGGUGCCAUUAUUACAGUAAAUUCUUAUAAGUUAUCUGCUUAAAAUUGAUUAAAUAAUGAAUGUACUUAGUAACUUUCUGUGAAUGCAGUUACUUCUUUCAAGAAUGAAUUUAACGAGAGAUGUAUUUAUAUAAUUUUACUAACCUAAUUAACAAUAUAAUUGAAUUUAUAAAUAAUCAUAGGUAAUUACAGAAAAUAAUAAUAAUUUAUAUUUGAUAUUAAAAUUUGUACAAAUUAUUGACAAUGUCAGAAAUUAUAGCACACAGCCAGGUCACAUAAACUGAAGGGAAAGCAGCUGUGAGAUAAUUUGAUUUUGUAGAUGGUAACCUCAGAUAUGGAAUCUGAUAAUCAAUCUGGUAGUAAUCCUCAAUCCAAUGGGACACCAAAAGCUGGAAUUAUAAAUAAUUAUAAGAGAAUAGAGGAAAUAAAACAUUCAGUGCAUAACUAAACUAGUUUGGAGGACUAGGUGGUAACCUCGGGUAUGGAAAUGGUACUGAUAAUAAACAAGGAUACCACAAGCUUAAAUUCGAUUGAAUUUAGUAUAAAUGUAUUUUUAAUGUUCCAAAUUAUAUUUAAUCCUAUAUUUUGUAUGAUACUUUUAUAAUAUGGGAAUGAAAACUUGUGCUUCCUGAUAUAUUGUUUAGUAAAUGAUGUAUGGUUACAAAAACAGUAUGAAAUGUGUUGAUUUAGUCAUAUUACCGAUGCUAAUCAUGAUAUUACAUUAGUUAUUAUUAUUACAUCACUCUCGUCUUAAUAAAACCAAGCAUUGAUGAAUAGUACAUUAGUUUUAUGCAAUACAAAGCACACUCACAUUUAAACAAUUCCUCUCCACUUUCCCUAUCACCCCUUCCACCAGUAUUGUCAUUCUAAAAAUAAGGUACCUUUUCAGUGAAGGAAGAUAGGUCACUUAAAACUUUACGUAACUAGUUUAGAGAGUAUCAAUUAUGUGUAAGAAAACUUUCCAAAAAAAAUGUUAAGUAAAGUUGAACAACUCUAAAAUAAUAUUCCAUUUGUGUUCAAAAUUUUGCCAAACAAAUUAAAUUUUAAAUCAAUGUAUCUUAUUGAUUAACAUUUUUAAUAUCUUAUUGAUAUUAAAAAUCAGGGGAUUUUUAGCAAAAGAAACCUCUAGCGAUUGGCUAAUUUUGUUUAUGGUACAAUAUUAGGUUAUUGCACAUAAUUUUAGGUUGGUUUUUAAUUAUCUUUAUCAUGAAAGUAUUACAAUAAACAAAAAUUGUAAUAAUUGUUAUUUCGCCUCAAACUUGAUUCUUAUUUUUUCUCAAGAAAUUUUGCUGUCUGAAGUGAUCUUUCAAUUUUAAGAAUGAUAUAAAAACCUGAAUGUUACAUAGCUUCUUAUACAUAAUUCAUUUAACUUUAAAAAGAAUAUUAUAAAGGAGCUUUUUAUGGUACAAAAUAAAUUUUAGAUGAGUUCUUUUCUAAAACCUUGCGUUUUCAUCGAAGUCCCUCUGGCACUUUUCGCAUACACAUAAAUUACUCUGCACUUUUCGACAUGGAUUCUUUUCACCUCUGUUACUAAUAGGAUUUAAUAGUGAAUACCAUUAAAAAAAUUCUAAACUUGAAUAUGUUACCAGUUGCAUCCUUUGCAUAUUUCCUGAGGUGUGGAAUGAUACAAACAUCCAUUGAGGGUUAUUAAUUAUUUUUACUCAUUUUUUAACUGUAAAAAUGGUGCAGUAUCUCCAUGUAAAUUUGAUAUAAAUUACUAGGCUUUUACAUUAUUAACAUCUUUACUGUGUUAUGAGACUUGAAGGUUUCAUAAUGUAUGUUCUUAUUGGUGCUGCAAACAAAUAUCAGUCCGAUCUUUAUGUGCAUAUGCAACAAUACAUUUGAUAAUUACAACUCUAGGUUGAAAGAGUGAGCCAAAAAGUAAAGAGAGAUUGAAAAGAGACCAACAAAACUCACCUAAGCAGUCUAGAGGACUGUAAAUAGUCACAAAUAAAAUUAAAAAAGCAUUUGUUGACAUCUAAACUAAGCUUGACAUGCUACAUGGCCUGCAGUUGAGGAAAUCAGUGACUUCCAAAUAAAACAAAAUAAAUGAGACUAUUUUCAUUAGUUGAGCUGUAAUUGAGAAAGAUCUGUGCUCCGAGUUUGGUCAAUGGAGAUUCCAAAGCAGUGAAUUAGUCAGUUGUCCAAUAGACAUUUCUCCAUGAGGCAAGAGGCUCUGCUACAGAUCUCAAGAUAACUCAUGAUAUGUAGAUAUAAAUUUUCAACUGUUAGUAAUGUAUUUUCAUUUAUUUUCAACAUUUUGAAAAGCCAAUAACUAAGAAAAAUUAUUGAAUCUAUUAUAGACCCAUUCAUGAACUCUAUUAAAUGGAUUCAAUGCUAAUAUUUGUAUAGUUCUAAUUACCAAAUGAACAAUAUAAUUCAAUUGAUAACAGCACUUAUUAAUUGUUAAUCUCGCACUUAUUUCAGUAUUUUUGAUCAAGUAUUUUAUAAAUUUCACUUAUUGUUCAACCUUCACUUAUCCUUUCCUAUAAGUACUUUUAAUUUUCUAAAAGAAUGAAUCAUUGUUGGUACUAAUGUUUUUCAACCCAACAGUUAACCAAAGUUACCUUAGUGAAACAGUAACCCAUUGUAUUAGUUGAUAAUUUGAGAACAAAAUAAGAAUUACAACACGUUUAGUAUUUAGCAUUAAGUGGACAUAUCAGUGUAAUCAAGUACAGUUUUGUAAAUAGUUGGGCUCUUUCAGUAGUCACACCAUCACUUCUUAUCAAAUUCUAAGUAAUUUAUGAACCAAUCAUAUUGUGAUAUGGACCUGUAAAGUAAUUCUUCUUUGUACAUUUCUUAGAAUAAAAUAAAAUUUACUUCUUCUGAUCCCUUUUAUCCAUUUCUUAUGCUUGAUUUCACAUUCAUUUGGCAGUUUGGGAUUUAAUAGUAUCCACUUUACUACAGUGGUGUAAUUUAAUUUGUUGCUGGUCUAAGAAGUUGACAACCUGGUUUAAGUAUAUUGUUAUCUUUCCAUUUUGUUUAAAGUACUAUAUGUUCUAUUCAAUAAUGUAGAAGUCCAAUGGUUUGAGAUUAUUUGGGCUAAUAGUUUUAUUUAAAAGCAGGAAAUUAUUAACGCAAUUAACAUUUCAGCAGGGGUAAUUUGUAUAACAUGUACAAAGUAUAAAUAGAAAGCGUAACAUCUUGUAAGGCAUUCAAAGAUAUUACAAUAAAGACAAAAGAUAUAAGAAUAUAUAGAAUAAAGAUACAUGCAUGGCAAAAGGUUAUUGUUGCUUUAUAUAAUUUAGAGUACUAUAAAUGUUUUUUCCAAAACCACCUUUAAAUUGACUGAAUCACAGAAUUGCCUAAACUCAAUUUGCUACAAUUCUACUGUACACGCUAAAAUGCAUUUCAGUAUAUUGUGUGUUUUUUUUUUUUAUACAGGGCACAGUAUAACCUGAUUCACUCAUUACUGGAACCAAAAUCAUGAUAUUUGAGCAAGCAGAUAGAUAGUAGAAAAUUGGUUGUUUCUUUAGAUAAAUUAUCUCAAUCAACCAUAUUAAAAAUUAAAUUUACUCUUAUUGUGGCACUUUAAAAAAGUAAUUACAAGUGUGGCACCUGCCUAUGAUUAAUAUCAAACAAUACAUUUACACUUUUGAAACAUUUUCGCUAUCCAUUAAUGCUUACUCAACUGCACUGAAUCCAAUAGUGUAGAAUAUAAUUUCAAGACUAGCCUAUUCAAGCAGAACACAAGUAUCAGUAUGUACGCUGAAACAAAUGCUAAAUUACACAAAGUAAUGCUAAACGCAUAGAUACAGCAGGAAUAGCAAAUUAGUAUAGUGGUUGUUCAAAAAGUAAGAAACUUUUUUUGUCAUAAAUAAAUGUACUAAUCUUAUGUUACAAUAAUCCUAUCUCCUUUAGAUAGUCUCCUUGGUAGUGAACACACAUUUCCCAGUGUUCCUGUCAUUUUUGGAAACAUCUAUGGAACACGUGUUUCAGAUGAGACAUGUUUGGCAAGGAAAGUAAACAUAGAUGAGUGGUUACAUUGUUAUGGUUGAACUUCCAAGCGUUUGUUCCCCCACACAUUCAAUCAUUUGCACCAUACUAAUUAAUGAAGGACUUUCAACUAGUGUCCCUUAGUAAAAGUUUAGCAUUGUGGUGCAUUCUCAAGAUGCACACCUCCAUGGGAAUUUAAAACAUAAGCCAUGACCUUGACUUGGAUGUAGAUAUGACGUGAUUUCUUUAGACUCAAUAAUGACAUUUUUCCACUCUAACCACUGCAUCAUGUUCUGGGUCAGUCAUAAUCCCAUGACUCUGCAUCUGUGAUCAUAGAAUUAGGGUCACUAUUACGUCAUGUGUGCGAUUUCCAGUGUUGCUAUAGCUAAUUUUUAACAGUUUCAGUCCAAAUUUUGCAAACCCUCUCCUCAAGAACAAAUUUUCAGCCAAAAUUGUUUGUAUUCUUAUCUAUUUUGUCCACUAGUUCUAUGACUAUGACACAACAACCCUCUAUAAACUAAGUUCACACUUGCUCUGUUACAUCUUCAUUUCAGCUUGUGGAGCAUUUUCCUGAAUGUGAUCCAAUGUCCACUGCUUUUAAGCCGUUGGAACACUCAUUCAUGAAAGCUCAUUGUAUUAUCUCCCAAAACCUGUUGAAUCUUGCAAAUGGUUUCUGCUUGGGUUUUGCGUAGCUUUCGGUAAAAUGCAAUAUUGCCAUUCAAGGUUUUCCGUCAUUUUACUAGUUUUUAAAAUCCAACCAGGAUUAAGUACACUUCCUUAUUCUUAGACCAGCUGACGCUUUCUGCUUCUAACAUUGCUUGACUUCCUUCACCACGUUUUAAACAACACCUCUCUUACUUCAUUGGCUUAAGCAAGAAAAAGGAGGUGUGAUGUUUUUUGAACAUACCUUGUAUAGCAUAUUCACUUUCUUAUAGAAUGGUUUCACUAUAUACUUGGAUAAAUAUUGCAUCACUGCAGCCUAAAGCAAGUUGUAUUUUUAUUUUACUGCUCAGCAAUGUUUGUUAAAAGAAACUAAACGUUUAAAAAGUGAUGGUUAAAAGUUGUACUGUACUGCUUACAACUAUACCAAUGACUAUAAAAAAAUAUAGUUUAGUUUAAUAGUAUAAAAGGUAGGAGUACACCAGACAUUUGUUUUGUAAUAGGCUUUGAUACAAUGAGGGAGCAAAUAUUUCUAUGUAGAAAUUAAGUUUCAUGUGAAAUGUCUAGUUAUAGUUCAGUUAAUUCUUGAGAUAUCCUCCAGGCAGACAGAAGAGAAAUUUUGCCAGACCCUGAGUAAUAGGCUUCGCUAACGCUUAGACGAACAGAAUAAAGUAUUCACUUAACUAUUGCAUAAAAAAGAUUAUUUAAGCAUUUUAUAGUAGUGUACGUAUCAGGUAAAGUUAACAAAGGGUGCUGAUACAGUAUUAGAUCCAUGACUAGGAAAGGUCUAUUUCACAUUAUGUCUGAUAUAUCAGAUAAUCAGUUCGAUUUGUACAGUGUAUUCUCAUACUGCCAAUUGAAUGUGUAACCAAAGGUUGUUUAUUUAGUACAUUAACACAUUUAUUUAUAGUAGCAGUGUUUUAACAUUCUUAGUAUCUACCACAAUAUUGAAAGGUAAUUUUUUUAGAAUAGGUUUUAUUUUAUAUACAGCUAUCUUAUACGCCUGUUUGUAUUUUUGGAGUUAUUGCCUCUUAUGCGUUGUAUUUCUGAAGAACUUUUACAAUAAUAGCUUUUUAAGAAUAUACUGACCUAGAUAUAUUGUAGUUUUUAUCAGUAUUUGAAACUUGACGUUAGAAGAGGAUUGAGUGGCAGAAAUGUUGUUCAUUGACAUAUAUAUAUAUAUAUAGCAUGACCAUACAAGAUAUUUUGUUUAGAGUUAUAAUCCAUUUUAAUUUUCUAGUAAUGGCCUUAUUUACAUUAAUUAAAUUUAAAAUGUUGGGGAUAUUUUAUUAUUAUCAGAGUUUACUCAAUAUGUAAUGUUUAAUAUUUUCUGUGACAUAUUUAUAACCAUGGUUCGCUUUGUCGCUAGAUGGUGUGCAAUCGUAAAGUUUCAAGUGGUUACAGGUUUUAGCACUGGAUACAAUAUCUUCUUAUAUACUGUUUAAUACUCAGAGCAUAAGACCUACAAAAGUAUUUGUAAAAUAAAAUUUGAAUUUUACCAAUAUAAAAUUAUUUUAUUUUGUUUAGCACAGUACUCCACUAUACAUUUUAAACAGAUACAAGCGUAACAAACUUAAGAAAUGUAUCCAGUUGUAACAGUAUCUAAGAUACACUAAAGAUUUAAAACUGAGUUGUGUGUCAAAGCUGAGGACAAUUAAUAGGAAAGAAAACCUUAUUUUUAUGCACACUUUUUGUUUUAAAGCUGUUUUAUACCUAUUCCUUGAAAUCUGUAUGAAACCUUAGGUGGGUUUUUUCAUCCCUAAGGAAUUGUAAUUUUUAUGCAUGAUUUUUGUUUAGAAUUUAAGCAAUUUGUAAAAAAUAGAAAAUUUGUUUAAUAUUUAUAAUGGAUCUGAGAUUGUCGGGAGCAAGAGAUUACCUAACCUUCUGUUUAUUACCGUGUAAUACCAUAGAGUGUUAUUUUAUCUGUCUGUAUUGUGAGUUGUCUGCUCUCAUGUAUGAACUAAAGCAAAUUGUUAAGUUUUUAACUGAUUAUUUCGGCUAAUUGUUAGUUAGGUUUGUACCAAUAGAGUAGAAGUGUUUUUGUAUUAAACAAAUUAUAUAUUUAUUUGUUGCCCUUGUGGUAAUUUUUAUUGUAUUAUAUUGUACUAAUGCUUCCAUGAGUUAUUUUUAGUUUUUAUGUGAAAAAAAACACGGGUUCAACAUCACUUGUUAAAUUUGUCAUUCUGUUUAUAAGUUAAGUCUGAAAUAGUAUUUAAGUUAGUUUAGGUAGUAUAGUUUUACCUGUACAUUUUAUUGUAUGUUUGAUAGUAUACAAGAGCUAUUUGGACUGUAAACCUCUGCAUUAUUUUUCUUCUUAGACUCUGCUUCCCAUAGCUUGAGGUAGCUAAGAACAGCUGUGAGGUUACCAAAGUACUAAGAACCAACUAUGACAUUAAGGUGAAUUCUUGAAGAUGCCUGAUUUGUGAAUUGAUUCAGAAAUCUUUGGUUUGCUGAGUGUGUGGACUCUGCUGUGAUCCUUUUGACUUAAGUGAUUAUGCUAAAUUCUAUAAUUCUACCAAAGUCUUCUUUUUGAAUCGCCAAACCAUUGUCACAAUCAUCUUCUUGCCAAAAUAACUAGUUUAUUGUGACUUUUUUAGUCUUAGGAUCAAUGGACUCAACUCAAGUUUCAUAUAACCAUUUGUCAUAUUGUAACAUUCUCCUCCCCUAUUAUUACCACUUGUAAACAAGUCACAGAAGAGGUAGUAAAUUGUGUUUUGUGAUCCUCAUAGAUUUCAAGAACUUACAGUAGGCAAAAUUUUAUAUACCUUAUUCUUAACAGUCCAGUACAUUUAUGUAAAUUCAUUGGGAGUCACAAAGGACUGUGUAAUGUUAGUUUUCACAGACGUUUACAUUAUUCUUUUAUUAAUCCUUUUAAAAAACACAUCACUCACCACAGAUGGCCUAUAAUUUCUUUCUUUGUUAUUGGUGUUUGGCCACUUUAAAAAGAAUAAGCCAUUCAAUCAUUACCUCUUCUCUUUAACUGAUGGCCCAUAUACGUAGCACAAAAUUUACAAUGAAUACUAUUUUUCUGUGAGAAACUUACAACAGUCUACACUUUGCAUUUGGUGAGAUUCUCAAAACAGCACCACACAUUUUACAAAGCUACAGGAAAGAACUAGAGUUCAGAUAUUUUCCUUUACUCCCACACUCUAAAAAGUUGACUGUCUGUGCCCAACUGUUUAAAAGUAAAGGCCAAACAACAAUUACUUUCCAAAUGGCUCUUGUAUUUGAAACUUUUAUUAAUUGGAUUACAGUGGUGUAAAAUUUGUCAAUACAUGUAUUGCUCAGAAACUUAUUAUAAAAUUGCAAUACACUGAAGCUGUUGCCUAAGAUUUUAUAUGUGUAAUACAUUAAAAGUGCAUUAAGUUUU